rnacentral:rRNA from 1 species
UACGAACUGUGCGAACGUUAUUCGGAAUCACUGGGCUUACAGGGUGCGUAGGCGGCUAUUCAGGUCAGGUGUGAAAGCCCCCGGCUCAACCGGGGAACGUGCGCUUGAAACCGAGUGGCUCGAGUCAGCUAGAGGUACACGGAACUUCCAGUGGAGCGGUGAAAUGUGUUGAUAUUGGAAGGAACACCGGAGGCGUAAAGACGGUGAU